AAAUCCUAGAAGAUGGGCGACAGACUGCAGUUCUGGAGAAAAGGAGCCUAAAACUAGAAGAAGAUGGGUUCUCAUGGAUCUAUAUAUUUGCAUUGUUAAGAUGGUUGCCUUCU